CCAGGAGUCCCUGGGAAGGGAGGGAGACGGCCCUUAGCCCCUCGCCCCUUGGCCCCAGCGCCCCCGUGGUAGGAAAACGGGCUCCUCCCCCACGGGAAACAGGGUCACGUGAAAAAGGUUGGGGCGUCUCUCACGCUCUGACCCCACCAUGACCCCUGCAUUCUCUCUACGCCUGUAAAUUCUGGGGGUUCCCGGACAGCUCUGGGGCGUGGCCAGCUGAGACCCUCAUUUCCUGGACUUUCGAGGCCUGACAGAGAGAGAGAGCACAAGCAGGGGGAAGAGGAAAGGAGGAAGCUGGCUCCCCACUGAGCAGGGAGCUGAUACAGAACUUAAUCCUAGGACCCUGGGACCAUGACCUGAGCUAAAGAGAGAGAGCACAGCAGGGGGAACAGCAGGCAGAGGGAGAAGUAAGCUCCCCGUUCAGCAAGGAACCUGAUGUGGGGCUCGAUCCCAGGACCCUGGAUCAUGACUUGAGCUGAAGGCAGACGCCCAACCGACUGAGCCUCCCAGGGAACUGGAUUCUGGUCUCACUGAAUCUGUGUCUGCACUAAUCUGGACAGCCCUGCCCUCCAGUCAGAGGUACCUGAGUUGAAAAUAGUAUCUAAUCAGCCACGUGCCAAGUACAGCCAAGAAUAUGGCCAGCUGUGUUGAACCAACGAGAUUGGAACUGUCAGCUCUCAGGAGGAAGCCCCGACAGACCUGGUCAGUAUUGGAUUCACUGAGGAUGUCAGGAAAGGUGCCCUUGGCAGAACUGGUGGAACUUUAGCAAAAACCAGUGAUCCUCUCAAGGCAUCGCCAGUAUCUGCACUGGGGCCCUUUCCUAUGAGAUCCCCGGCCCCUUGUUUCUCAUACCUUCCUCCUGAAAGACAGAGUGACUCCUAUAAGAAGAAUGAUUUGUUUCCUUCACUGGUUCCUAGGUUGUAUCUCCUUCACUCUCCUUUCUUGGCUGAGGUCUCUGGCACGUGGAGAAGCAGGAAGGGUUCCUUGUGAAGGAUGCUCACCACAUUUCUGCGGGGAGAGCUUUCCCUAUCUGCUGUAAAGAUCAUAUGGCUUCAGCUGCUGAUACUGAGUCAUUUAAGAACCCCACUGCAUCUAAGCCCAGAAAAGAAUAUCCCCCCUUACCCCACCCCCCCGGAUACCAAAGAUUGCAAAUGACAUGCCAUGUCUUCCAAGACACUUCUUUCACUGUUCUGGUGCCCCAUGAUCUCUCAUUUUUCUGCUUCUUUUGGGGUUAGGACUUAUCUGCUAAGUGAUAAUAUCAUUCACAUUUUUGUGUUAGAGGAUUUUUUAAAAAACCUAGCUUGCCUUAAUGAGAUUAAGGAAGGUAUCACAGUCUCUUUUGAAAUGUCCCUUACAGGGGUGCCUGGGUGGCUCAGCUGGUUAAACAUCUGCCUUUGGCUCAGGUCAUGAUCCCAGGAUCCUGGGAUUGAGCCCCACAUCAGGCUUCCUUCUCGGCAGGAGUGUCUGCUUCUUCCUCUGUGCCUUCCCCUGCUUGUGCUUGCUCACUCUCUCUCUCUCUGAAAGAAAUAUACAUCUUUAAAGAAAAAAAAAAAAAAAAAGAAACGUCUCUUACAGAUUCUGUGUACCCAGGGCAGUCUGGUGUAGUGAAAUAUAAAUCUUUUAAAAAAAAAUUGAAAAAAGGAAAAAUGUCUCUUACAGAUUCUGUGCACCCAGGACAGUAUGGUGUAGUGAAGAGACUCAGGCAGUCCAUUUAUUAAAUGACUGCUAUGUAGACUAAAAGAAAUAUACAGUUAGUCCUCACUUUUCAAAAGAUCACAUUAGACCGCCUCACUUUUAUGAAUUACCUACAUUAGUACCUGUUCUCGCUAACCAAAGGAAAUCUGAAGAUUUUCACUUCCACAAAAAAAAAAAAAAGUGAAAAUGGUACUCAGUGUUUGUUUCACAGUGAGCAUUGAGACAGCAUGCACACGGAGCAGUGAGAAGUGUCCCUGCCAAGUUUCUUCCCUGAGAUCUAUGCUAAAAUUUAGGUAAGAUUUUUCCUAGAAAGACCUUAUAUUUAUUGAGCCCUUACUAUACGCCUACCCCUGUUCUGAGUUCAAGUGUAUUAGCUCAUUUGAUAAUGACACCAGCUUUAAGAUGCCAAUGCUACUGCUGUUAUUAACUUCAUUUUAUAGAUGGAGACACCGAGGUUCAGAAGUCUUCACAGAUGGGAAGUAACUUGCUGUAGGUCACACAGUAAAGAGAAGGAGGGCGGUAUUUCAAGCCCAAGCAGUCUAGCGCUAGAAACCAACAUUUUUAACUGCUAUAGUAUAAUGCCUCUAUGGUUUACAGGCUCCCGAGGAGCAAAUGAAUCAGUGUGUAUGAAAACACUUUUGUGAGUUGUGAGACACAAUGCACUACUGUUACUUGUAGUGGACAAUCAAUAAAUGGCUUAGCUGAAUUGUUUGGGGGCACAAAAAGUAUACUUACAUUGUAAUGAUCCUUGGUACUUUUCAAAGUGCUUUCACACAUUUGAUCUCUCGGGAUAAUAAGCCACUUUGAAUCCAUUUUGGAACAAGGCUGGUCAUCCAUACAUGUGGGGCCGCUGAAGUCACAGGCCCAGAUAGGGGAAACACCUUGCUUACAGCAGGAAGUCAGUAACCCAGUCAGGACUGGCACGCGAAUGAUCCGACUCCUGGCUGGUUUUGUGCCUCUUU